rnacentral:lncRNA from 12 species
UUACACCUAUCUUUUAAAUACCUAACAGGGGGCAGCCCGGGUGGCUCAGCGGUUUAGUGCCGCCUUCAGCUGGGGGUGUGAUCCUGGAGACCUGGGAUCGAGUCUCACAUCAGGCUCCCUGUAUGGAGUCUGUUUCUCCCUCUGCCUGUGUCUCUCAUGAAUAAAUAAAUAAAAUCUUCCCCCUGCUCACACAUUCUCCACUUCUAAAUAAAUAAAUAAAUAAAAUCUUUAAAAAAAUCCUCUUCUACAUUUGAGUGUCAUAUAACAACAGGCCAUGGGAGGGAUUUGGCUCAUGCACUGUAGCUUGCUGACCCCUGAUCUAAUGGCUUGACAUGGUUGUUGGCAGGUCUUAGUCCUUCACCAUGUGGUCCUCAUACAGCUGCUUGAGUGUCCUCAUGUCAAGGCAGCUGUCUUCCCCCAGAAUGGUAGAUCCAAAAGCAAGAGCAAGGAAGAUGUCAUAAUUCCUCUUAUGACCUAGUCUUGAAAUUCAUACAUGGUCACUCCUGCCACAUUAGAAGCAAGCCAUUAAAUCUAGCUCACACCCAAGGAGAGGGGCACCCACUUUUAAAGGGAAGGAUUAUCAAAACUUCGUGGACAAAUUUUAAAAUUAACAUAACAGUCUUGUCCUCUAUGAUUCUCAUCAUACUUCUAAUGGCUUAUUGCUUUGAGAAGUAUGCCAGCAUUUACAAAUGGACUAAGAUACUGGCUUUGUGUCCAGAGUGUGGUCUCCCUAUUUAAUGACAUGGGACUUCAAGAACUCCAGAGCAAAGAAUUCAGAACCAGACUUCUACCAUGCAAAAUGGCAUUCAACUGGAGACAGAAAAAACUGGAAUGAUGGGAAGAAUGCCCAGAAGAUCUCCUGGUAUCAUCAUCUAAAGGAA